UCCGAGUUGACCCCGGCAGUCUUCGAUGAGUCCCCACCAUAACGUGCUGGCAACAUCGAACGAGGGUUGCGCUCGUUGCGGGACUUAACCCAACAUCUCACGACACGAGCUGACGACAGCCAUGCAGCACCUGUGUCCAGGCUCCCUUUCGGGCACCCCUCCAUCUCUGGAGGGUUCCUGGCAUGUCAAGGGUAGGUAAGGUUUUUCGCGUUGCAUCGAAUUAAUCCACAUAAUCCACCGCUUGUGCGGGUCCCCGUCAAUUCUUUUGAGUUUUAGCCUUGCGGCCGUACUCCCCAGGCGGAACACUUAACGCGUUGGCUGCGGCACAGGAGGAUUCGACUCCCCCCACACCUAGCGCCCACCGUUUACGGCGUGGACUAC
rnacentral:misc_RNA from 1 species